UCCUGUCACCAUGGCCUCCUUGAUGUAUGGAGACAACUUCGUUGUUCAGGCCUGGCGCAUCGUUAAGUUCGGCUGAUUCUCCACUGGCGCUGCAUUUAGCGGACUGACGUUUAUUUGACAAAUACCAUUUUUGAGGUUAAAGACUAAUAAAUUUGAAAGAUGUAAGUGAAAUACGUUGAAAAUGUGAGGAUAAUUCUAAAGUUAUGCCCUGAAUGAACGUUUGGAUAGUGUAACUUUUGCAGGAAAUCAUUUUACGAUCAUUAGGAUUUUUUUUUCAGCUUCAGAAGAUAUACAAAUUAUUUUAAGGUGAAUUGAUUGUUCAUCGUUUAUAAGUAUUUUAAGCAUAACCUACGGCACUAGUACGCAGACACAAAUGCAGAGAAAACGAUGUUUUAAAGAACCUUCCAUUUAUUAUGCAUACUCUAUGGUUUUACCAAUGGUUAAGGUUGAAUGCGUUACAAAUCUGUGAUUUUUAAGACAUGGCUUAAGUUUUCUGAAAGUUUUUGUAAAAUGUGCAAAGAAAGUCGUUUUUUUCAAAUGAAAUGGUUUAAAAAAGCUCGAUCCAGCGUUCUUCUGCUGCGUUACUCUCUGCUGGAGUGUCUCUGAACCGUCCGUUCCAAAGUCCCUGUCUGGACCUCUCACCUCUGCUCACUCUCAAGCACCGCUCGUGGAUCACCAAACUCCCGAAAAAAAUCUACUACUUUAUUAAUUUUUUUGAGUUUUUGUAUUUAGAAAUUAUCAAUUACAUUGUGGGCUCUUUUUCA